AUAAAUUAAAGUUAUCAUUCAAUUGUAAAAAUAUGGUAGAGACUAUGAUGAUCUCUGGACAGAAAAAUCGCAAAGCUUAAAUGGCAAACACCUAUCCAUAUACACCCGCGUCGCACAGUGCAAAUCCUUCUUCCCGCCAUAAAGCCCUCACCUCCUCUCCUCCCCGCACACUCUCCUCCCACUACUCUAUUAUUACUCUCUCCCUAAAAAAAAUAAAAAUUAACUGUGUCCUUCACUUUUAAAUUUUUAGGCUGGCUGGCUCGGUCGCUCUCUAUUGAAGAGAUUUGCAAAAACCCUGGAUCAUCAAACCAGGCCAUGGAUGAUUCUAGGGUUUUCGGGGAUAGUAACAUCCCUACCACUUUUCGGUCCGGUGUGGGUACCAUCUCCAGGAUCCGGUUAGAGAACUUCAUGUGCCAUGAUAACCUCCAAAUUGAGCUUGACCAGUGGGUCAAUUUUGUCACCGGUCGAAACGGAAGUGGCAAAAGUGCAAUAUUGACCGCUUUAUGUAUUGCAUUUGGAUGCCGGGCUAAAGGAACUCAAAGGGCCGCCACUUUGAAGGAUUUUAUCAAAACUGGUUGCAGUUAUGCUGUUGUUGAAGUGGAAGUAAGAAACAGAGGAGAGGAGUCUUUUAAGCCAGAUAUCUAUGGUGAUUCCAUAAUAAUAGAACGGAGAAUCAACCAAUCUUCCAGUACCACAGUUCUAAAGGAUCACCAAGGAAGAAAAGUGGCUAGUCGAAGAGAGGAUCUUCGGGAGCUCAUAGAACAUUUUAAUAUUGAUGUUGAGAAUCCUUGUGUAAUAAUGACUCAAGACAAAAGCAGAGAAUUUCUGCAUUCUGGGAAUGAAAAAGACAAAUUUAAGUUCUUUUUCAAGGCUACUCUUCUUCAACAAGUUAAUGAUCUUUUACUAAGUAUUAAUGAACAACUGAAGUCUGCAAAUGCACUUGUUGAUGAACUGGAGGCUUCGAUAAAACCCAUAGAGAAGGAACUUACUGAGUUGCAAGGAAAGAUAAAAAAUAUGGAGCAUCUAGAAGAAAUGUCUCAGCAGGUACAACAGUUAAAGAAGAAGCUUGCAUGGUCUUGGGUGUACAGUGUAGACAAGGAAAUCCAGGAACAAAUGGUGAAGGUUGGAAAGCUUAAAGAACGUAUACCCACUUGUCAAGCUAGAAUUGAUCAUGAACUUAUGAAGGUGGAGGAAUUGAGAAAAACCUUCAUAGAGAAGAAAGCCCAAACUGCACAUAUGGUGGAAAGAGCGAAGGAAGUGAGGAAUAAACAGGAUGAAUUGCGUAAUACUGUUUCCUUGGCAAGGAAGAAGAAACUUGAGUUAGAAAAUGAGCACAAUCGCCGAACCAAUCAAAUUCAUAGCAUGGUGAAACGUGUCAAGUUGCUUGAACAGCAAGCCCGGGAUAUUCAUGAGCAACAAGUUAAAAAUACACAGGCUGAAGAAUGUGAAAUAGAGGAAAAGCUUAAGGAACUUCAGGACAUGGUUGAUGUUGCUGAUUUCACACUUUCAAGGUUGAAGGAAGAAGAGAGUACCUUAUUAGAAAGCGUGUCCAAGGGAAUGGAUGAAAUUAGAAAGAUUACUGAAGAGAUUGAAGAGUAUGGAAAGAAGGAACAGGAAAUCCGUGCAUACAUACGUGAACUCCAGCUAAACAAAACCAACAAGGUUACAGCGUUUGGAGGAGAUCGAGUGAUUCAACUUUUACGUACAAUUGAGAGACAUCACCAAAGAUUCAGAAGCCCGCCGAUUGGUCCAAUUGGUGCUCAUGUGACUUUAGCAAAUGGUGAUAGGUGGGCUCCUGCUGUUGAGAAUGCUGUCGGGAAGCUGCUCAAUGCUUUCAUUGUGACAGACCAUAGGGACUCUCUUCUUCUGAGAGGAUGUGCAAGAGAAGCAAACUAUAACAACCUGCAGAUUAUUAUAUAUGAUUUCUCAAGACCAAGGCUGACCAUACCAUCUCACAUGCUUCCGCAAACUAACCAUCCAACUACAUUUUCUGUUAUCCGUUCUGACAAUGAUACUAUUCUAAAUGUUUUAGUGGACUUGGGAAGUGCUGAGAGGCAAGUGCUUGUAGAAGAUUAUGAUGCAGGAAAAGCUGUUGCUUUUGAAAAACAGAUCUCAAAUCUAAAAGAGGUUUAUACAAUAGAUGGUUAUAAAAUGUUUUCACGCGGGUCAGUCCAGACAGUUCUUCCCCCAAAUAAGAAGCUUAGAGCUGGCCGCCUUUGUGGUUCAUUUGAUGAUCAAAUUAGGAAUCUUGAUCAAUCUAAAUCAAAUGUUCAAAAGGAAGCUGAUCUGAGCAGGAAGAGGAAACGAGACUCUGAGGCAAGCCUUCAACAUCUUCAACAUGGGCUAAAGAUUAUGAAGGAGAAGUGCAGGAAUGCUGAGCGGGAUCUGGUAUCUAAGAAACUAGGACUGCAGGAUGCAAAGAACUCGUAUGCGUCGGCAACCAGUUCUCAAGCUGCUGCAUCAACUGUUGAUGAGCUUCAACAAGAAAUCUCAAGCAUCCGGGAGGAGAUACAAGAAAAGAAAAUGCAGCUGGAGUCGCUCCAAGUCAGAAUUAAUGAAGCUGACUCAAAAGCCAGGGAUCUUGAAUUGACAUUUGAAGAUUUGCGUGAGUCAGUUAAAGAAGAAAUCGAUGCUAUUGAGAAAGCAGAGAGUGAGCUGGUGAAGAUUGAAAAAGAUCUGCAAUUUGCAGAAGCAGAAAAGGCCCGUUAUGAAGGAGUAAUGACUACCAGGGUUCUCCCUGAUAUUGAAAUGGCGGAGGCACAAUAUCGGGAGCUUGAAGAGAAUCGUAAGGAGAGCUGCAGAAAGGCUUCAAUUAUAUGUCCCGAGAGUGAGAUUGAAGCUUUAGGAGGUUAUGAUGGCAGCACACCAGAGCAGCUCAGUGUGCAUUUAAAUAAACUGAACCAGAGACUUCAGAAUGAGUGCCAGCAGCAUUCUGACUCUAUUGAUGACCUGAGGAUGUUUUAUCAGAAAAAAGAGCGUAAAAUUUUGCGUAAACGGCAAACAUACAGAGCUUUUCGUGAAAAGUUGAAGACUUGUGAGGAAGCCCUGAAUUUGCGAUGGAGCAAAUUUCAAAGGAAUGCAAGUGAUUUGAAGCGCCAAUUGACUUGGAAUUUCAAUGGUCACUUAGGAGAGAAAGGGAUUAGUGGGAGCAUUAAAAUUAGUUACGAAGAGAAGACCCUCAAAGUAGAGGUAAAAAUGCCCCAAGAUGCAUCCUGCAGCUCUGUUCGUGACACUAGAGGGCUUUCAGGUGGUGAACGAUCUUUCUCAACGUUAUGCUUUGCAUUAGCUCUUCAUCAGAUGACAGAAGCCUCAUUCCGAGCAAUGGACGAGUUUGAUGUCUUUAUGGAUGCUGUUAGUAGGAAGAUUAGCCUAGAUACCUUGGUGAAGUUUGCAUUGGCCCAAGGUUCCCAGUGGAUAUUUAUCACUCCUCAUGAUAUCAGUGGUGUAAAACAUCAUGAGAGGAUAAAGAAGCAGCAGCUGGCAGCUCCACGUUCUUGAUAAUUGAUUGCAAUUUAUGCUGCUGUUUUAUGCUACUUGGAAUGCAAGUAAUGGUUAGUUUUGCUGCUUGGACAUUUAUACAUGUGAUGCAUUCAAUAUUCACAAGUAUUAGCAGUCCGGUUAUUGUCUUGGUUUACCUCUGCUGUUGAUUUGGGAUUCAUUGCCCCUGUCACUGAAAAUUGGCUUUUCAAAUACUGUGCAUAGCCUCCUUCACUAUCUCUCUGAGCUCGAUACUUAAAUUUCCAUGACGACACGACAAUCAGUUUAAUUUCAUCCACGCCCACCGGGUUCCUUGAUCAUCCUUUCUCCGCCCGAUGUCUUGUUGAGUGCUUUGCUUUGCUUGACAGUCUGGGACAUGCGCGUUGAAAUUUGACCCCUUCCGGCAGUGCCCCCUGGCGUGACCAAGUUUUGUUUGCAUGAUGCUGGAUAGGACCUGUAACCUCAUACCUGGCUGUAUAAUUAAUCAGUGAUUUCAUGUAAGAUGUGGUUUGGUACGACGUAGAAGAGGAGAGAUGCUAGGCAUCUUAGUGCCUGAAAUUCAGUGAUUGUUACAAUUGAGUGUUUGAACGUUGAUUAUUUUUAUUUUUAUCUUCAAAUAAAUGCUUAAACCAUUUAAAAUCUAACAAUCAAUUGUAGUAUUGGAUAUUUGACAAAU